GCCUCCCCCCGCAGCGAUCCUCACCCCUCCACGCGGGGAAAGUUGCUCCCAGACCCUGAGCUCCCUGCCCUGGCUCAGGCAGCCGAGUGCCGUGAUCGUGCUGCAUCUCUAGCGUCCCGACGCCCCUUGGGGAGCGCGAAGAGUGCAGCGCCCUUGGAAGCCAGCUUUGGGGAAGGCACCUGACCUCCCGGGACCUCAGGAGGCGCCCCCGAGAAACCCGGCCGCACCGUCUGCGCGCGUCUCAGACAUCUAUCUUCAUGGAGUCUACAGACCCUCUUUGGGAUGAGGGAUCAUAGGAGAACUAUUGACUCUUUUUAAGCAAUAUCAUGGCUGGAUUCGUGUUUUAGGAUAAUCUCCCUGGCUCCUGUGUGGGGUGGAUUCAGAAGGCUUUGGCUGUUGUCUUCAGAGAGCUUGUGUUUGGCAGCUAAUACAGCAGAUGCCUCUGUUCCAAGAACUGUAACAGCAUCAAAGUGGAGUGCACCCACUGACUUGCAAUGUUUCCUGCAAAUGACAAGUCUGUGGACGUCAUCUGGGGACCAAGGGCAAGGAUGAGCUCUGUCAUGCUUAUCUGCUGGGAAAAGGAAAACAAAAAAACUAACCAAGAUAAAACCACCAUGGGGCUGGGAAUCUGGCAGAAGAUGGCCUGAAGAUUAGU